CAUAUCCCAUGGCGCCCGGUCUCGUGGCGGCCAUCCCCCAUCCCCCGCGGGCCCCGGUCGGAUAAGAGCAUCGCCAGGACCCCCUCUCGACCACUCUGCUAACCCUAGUGCCCCAUUCCCCUCGCUCGCCCAUUCCCCUCUCAGAUUCUCUCGCGCCCGAGACACAACCGCGACCACCUCGUCGAUCCCGCGACCGUCGACCUCCCCUCGUCGAGCCAAGGCGUCCAGGAGCUGCGCCACCUUCCCCUGCUUCAACUACGAGCAUCGGCCCGAGCUAGGAGGCCGCGUACACUCGCCAUCGACGUCGUCUUCGCCCACGGCCGCUGCAUCUCGCCAUCGGAUUCGUCGUGUCCCAGCCACCCCCUACUUCCUAAGCUCGUCCACGAGCAUCACGAUGACGAAGUCCAGGAGCCAGAUGUCACCACCGACAAUUACUACUACACCAGGGGUGCCUACUACUACGUGGAGGCCGCCGACAA